UUUUAUGGAGAGUUUGAUCCUGGCUCAGGAUGAACGCUGGCGGCGUGCCUAAUACAUGCAAGUCGAGCGAACGGACGAGAAGCUUGCUUCUCUGAUGUUAGCGGCGGACGGGUGAGUAACACGUGGAUAACCUACCUAUAAGACUGGGAUAACUUCGGGAAACCGGAGCUAAUACCGGAUAAUAUUUUGAACCGCAUGGUUCAAAAGUAAAAGACGGUCUUGCUGUCACUUAUAGAUGGAUCCGCGCUGCAUUAGCUAGUUGGUAAGGUAACGGCUUACCAAGGCAACGAUGCAUAGCCGACCUGAGAGGGUGAUCGGCCACACUGGAACUGAGACACGGUCCAGACUCCUACGGGAGGCAGCAGUAGGGAAUCUUCCGCAAUGGGCGAAAGCCUGACGGAGCAACGCCGCGUGAGUGAUGAAGGUCUUCGGAUCGUAAAACUCUGUUAUUAGGGAAGAACAUAUGUGUAAGUAACUGUGCACAUCUUGACGGUACCUAAUCAGAAAGCCACGGCUAACUACGUGCCAGCAGCCGCGGUAAUACGUAGGUGGCAAGCGUUAUCCGGAAUUAUUGGGCGUAAAGCGCGCGUAGGC
rnacentral:rRNA from 1 species